rnacentral:rRNA from 1 species
AAUACAUGCAAGUCGAGCGGACAGAAGGGAGCUUGCUCCCGGACGUUAGCGGCGGACGGGUGAGUAACACGUAGGUAACCUGCCCCUUAGACUGGGAUAACUCCGGGAAACCGGAGCUAAUACGGGAUAAUAAAGAGAAUCACCUGAUUCUCUCUUGAAAGACGGUUUCGGCUGUCACUAAGGGAUGGGCCUGCGGCGCAUUAGCUAGUUGGUAAGGUAACGGCUUCCCAAGGCGACGAUGCGUAGCCGACCUGAGAGGGUGAUCGGCCACACUGGGACUGAGACACGGCCCAGACUCCUACGGGAGGCGGCAGUAGGGAAUCUUCCGCAAUGGACGAAAGUCUGACGGAGCAACGCCGCGUGAGUGAGGAAGGCCUUCGGGUCGUAAAGCUCUGUUGUGAGGGAAGAACAAGUACCGGGGUAACUACCGGUACCUUGACGGUACCUCACCAGAAAGCCACGGCUAACUACGUGCCAGCAGCCGCGGUAAUACGUAGGUGGCAAGCGUUGUCCGGAAUUAUUGGGCGUAAAGCGCGCGCAGGCGGCUUCUUAAGUCUGAUGUGAAAUCUCGGGGCUCAACCCCGAGCGGCCAUUGGAAACUGGGAAGCUUGAGUGCAGAAGAGGAGAGUGGAAUUCCACGUGUAGCGGUGAAAUGCGUAGAUAUGUGGAGGAACACCAGUGGCGAAGGCGACUCUCUGGUCUGUAACUGACGCUGAGGCGCGAAA